CAGUCGCCGCGGUAAUACGAGGGGGGCAAGCGUUGUUCGGAAUUAUUGGGCGUAAAGGGCGCGUAGGCGGUUUGGCAAGUUUGGUGUGAAAUCUUCGGGCUCAACUCGAAGUCUGCACCGAAAACUGCCGGGCUUGAGUAUGGGAGAGGUGAGUGGAAUUUCCGGUGUAGCGGUGAAAUGCGUAGAUAUCGGAAGGAACACCUGUGGCGAAAGCGGCUCACUGGACCAUUACUGACGCUGAGGCGCGAAAGCUAGGGGAGCAAACAGGAUUAGAUACCCGCGUAGUCCCUGUCUCUUAUAA
rnacentral:rRNA from 1 species